rnacentral:tRNA from 1 species
GCGCCGGUGGUGUAAGGCGAACACCGCUGCCCGGAAAGCAGAAGAUGCGGGUUCGAGCCCCGCCUGGCGAA